rnacentral:rRNA from 1 species
AAGUUUUAUGGUCAAGCUACUAAGGGCGUGCGGUGGAUGCCUUGGCGCCAACAGGCGACGAAGGACGUGGCAAGCUGCGAUAAGCCUCGGGGAGCCGCAAGCAGGCUUUGAUCCGGGGAUCUCCGAAUGGGGCAACCCCUCCGAGCAAAACUCGGAGACGGCCCGCUGAAUCCAUAGGCGGGUACGAGCGAACCCGGGGAAGUGAACCAUCUCAGUACCCGGAGGAAAAGAAAUCAACCGAGAUUCCGAAAGUAGCGGCGAGCGAAAUCGGAACAGCCCAAACCGCGGUGCUUGCACCGCGGGGUUGCAGGACCGCAUCAGUAGAGUUACCAAUCCGACCGUUAGGUGAAUCGGCUGGAAAGCCGGGCCAGAGAGUGUGAUAGCCACGUAACCGAAAACGGUUCGGACUCGAAGCGGGAUCCUGAGUACCACGGGGCACGGGAAACCCUGUGGGAAUCUGGGGGGACCACCCUCCAAGGCUAAAUACUCGUUGGCGACCGAUAGUGAACUAGUACCGUGAGGGAAAGGUGAAAAGAACCCCUGCGAGGGGAGUGAAAUAGGACCUGAAACCGCAUGCCUACAAGCAGUCAGAGGGCUAUGCCCCGGCUUCGGCCGGGGAAGUGCCUGAUGGCGUGCCUCUUGCUUAAUGAGCCGGCUAGUUAUUCUCACAGGCAAGGUUAAGCGAAAGCGAGCCGUAGCGAAAGCGAGUCCGAAUAGGGCGUUGAGUCUGUGGGAAUAGACGCGAAGCGGGAUGAUCUACCCUUGGCCAGGCUGAAGGCCGCUUAACCGCGGCUGGAGGGCCGAACCGGUGUUGGUUGAAAACAGCUCGGAUGAGCUGAGGGUAGGGGUGAAAGGCUAACCAAAUUCCGUGAUAGCUCGUUCUCCCCGAAAUGCCUUUAGGGGCAGCCUCGUGUGGUCUGCCGCGGCGGUAGAGCGCUGGAUGGCUGAGGGACCAUUCCAGGUUACCGACUCCAACCAAACUCCGAAUGCCGCGGACAGCAGCACGGGAGUGAGACUACGAGGGAUAAGCUUCGUGGUCGAAAGGGAAACAGCCCAGACCGCCAGCUAAGGUCCCGGACUGCAGGCUAAGUGGGAAAGGAUGUGCAACCGCGAAGACAGCCAGGAGGUUUGCUUGGAAGCAGCAAUCCUUUAAAGAAAGCGUAACAGCUCACUGGUCAAGCGGUCGCGCACCGACAAUUCAACGGGGCUCAAGCCUGCGACCGAAGCUGCGGAAGGGCCGAGGCGUUGCGACGCUUCGGCCUUUGGUAGGGGAGCAUUCUGUGGAGUCCGAAGGCGGACCGAGAGGACCGCUCGACGCCACGGAAGAGACCCUGCCGGCAUAAGUAGCGAUAAACGCGGUGAGAAUCCGCGUCGCCGAAAGUCUAAGGUUUCCUGAGGAAGGUUCGUCCGCUCAGGGUUAGGCGGGGCCUAAGGCGAGGCCGAAAGGCGUAGCUGAUGGACAGCCGGUCAAUAUUCCGGCCCCACCGGAGGGGCGUUUGCACGAUGGGGAGACGCAGAAGGAUAGGCGGGUCGUCCUAUGGCUAUGGCGAUCCGACGCCGGAAGCGGGGAGUGGCAGGAAAAUCCACCACUCCGUUACCCGUGAGGGCGUUGGCAGGGACGCAGGUCCCGAGGCCGCUGAGUCCACGCUGCCAGGAAAAUCCUCUAAGGAGUCCUUCCGGUGCCCGUACCUCAAACCGACACAGGUAGACGAGAUGAGUAUUCACAGGCGCGCGAGAGAACGCUCGCUCAGGAACUAGGCAAAUUGGCCCCGUAACUUCGGGAGAAGGGGCGCCCCGGUAGGGUUCACAGCCCGAGGGGGCCGCAGUGAAAGGCGCUCUGCGACUGUUUAACAAAAACACAGCUCUCUGCGAAGUCGAACACGACGUAUAGGGGGUGACGCCUGCCCGGUGCCGGAAGGUUAAAGGGAGGGCUUAGCUCGCGCAUGCGGGCGACGGCCCGAACUGAAGCCCCGGUGAACGGCGGCCGUAACUAUAACGGUCCUAAGGUAGCGAAAUUCCUUGUCGGGUAAGUUCCGACCUGCACGAAUGGCGUAACGACAGAGCGACUGUCUUGGCGAGCGGCUCGGCGAACUUGUGGUUCCGGUGAAGACGCCGGAUGCCCGCACCUAGACGGAAAGACCCCGUGCACCUUAACUGCACUCUGGUCAUGAAUAACGGAGCCGUCUGCGUAGGAUAGGUGGGAGCCUGCGAACUCCGACUUUCGGGUCGGAGGGAGGCGCCGGUGAAAUACCACCCUGACGGCUCUGUCGUUCUAACCUGCGGCCCGCGACGGGUCGGGGGACAUGGCCAGACGGGUAGUUUGACUGGGGCGGUCGCCUCCUAAACGGUAACGGAGGCGCCCAAAGCUCGGCUCAGGCGGAUUGGAAACCCGCUGUGGAGUGCAAGCGCAGAAGCCGGGUUGACUGCGAGACAGACAAGUCGAGCAGGAGCGAAAGCUGGGGCUAGUGAUCCGGUGGUCCCGCGUGGAAGGGCCAUCGCUCAACGGAUAAAAGGUACGCCGGGGAUAACAGGCUGAUCGGGCCCAAGAGUCCACAUCGACGGCCCGGUUUGGCACCUCGAUGUCGGCUCAUCGCAUCCUGGGGCUGUAGAAGGUCCCAAGGGUUAGGCUGUUCGCCUAUUAAAGCGGUACGUGAGCUGGGUUCAGAACGUCGCGAGACAGUUCGGUCCCUAUCUGGUGUGGGCGCAGGAGACUUGCGGGGAGCUGUCCCUAGUACGAAAGGACCGGGAUGGACGGACCUCUUGUGAUCGAGCUGUCGCGCCAGCGGCACGGCUCGGUAGCGAAGUCCGGAAGGGAUAACCGCUGAAAGCAUCUAAGCGGGAAGCCCGCCCCAAGAUAAGGUCUCCCAAGUCCGAUUCGUCGGACUAAGAAGGCCGGAGGAAGACUACCUCCUAGAUAGGCGGGAUGUGGAAGCGCAGCAAUGCGUGAAGCUUACCCGUACUAAUCGGCCGUUCGGCUUGACCAUAAAAC